UGGCUAAUGUGUUUUGUCUAAGGUGUCUUGGCUAAUGUGUCUUGGCUAAGGUGUCUUUGCUAAGGUGUCUUGGCUAAGGUGUCUUGGCUAAUGUGUCUUGGCUAAUGUGUCUUGGCUAAGGUGUCUUGGCUAAGGUGUCUUGGCUAAGGUGUCUUGGCUAAGGUGUCUUGGCUAAGGUGUCUUUGCUAAGGUGUCUUGGCUAAGGUGUCUUGGCUAAGGUGUCUUUGCUAAGGUGUCUUGGCUAAGGUGUCUUGGCUAAUGUGUCUUGGCUAAUGUGUCUUGGCUAAGGUGUCUUGGCUAAGGUGUAUUGGCUAAGGUGUCUUGGCUAAGGUGUCUUGGCUAAGGUGUCUUGGCUUAUGUGUCUCGGCUAAGGUGUCUUGGCUAAGGUGUCUUGGCUAAGGUGUCUUGGCUAAUGUGUCUUGGCUAAGGUGUCUUGGCUAAGGUGUCUUGGCUAAGGAGUCUUGGCUAAGGUGUCUUGGCUUAGGUGUCUUGGCUAAUGUGUCUCGGCUAAGGUGUCUCGGCUAAGGUGUCUUGGCUAAUGUGUCUUGGCUAAGGUGUCUUGGCUAAGGUGUCUUGGCUAAGGUGUCUUGGCUAAGAUGCUUGGCUAAUGUGUCUUGGCUAAUGUGUCUUGGCUAAGGUGUCUUGGCUAAGGUGUCUUGGCUAAGGUGUCUUGGCUAAGGUGUCUUGGCUAAUGUGUCUCGGCUAAUGUGUCUUGGCUAAGGUGUCUUGGCUAAGGUGUCUUGGCUAAGGUGUCUUGGCUAAUGUGUAUUGGCUAAUGUGUCUUGGCUAAGGUGUCUUGGCUAAUGUGUCUCGGCUAAGGUGUCUUGGCUAAUGUGUCUUGGCUAAAGUGUCUUGGCUAAGGUGUCUUGGCUAAGGUGUCUUGGCUAAUGUGUCUUGGCUAAGGUGUCUUGGCUAAGGUGUCUUGGCUAAGGUGUCUUGGCUAAGGUGUCUUGGCUAAGGUGUCUUGGCUAAGGUGUCUUGGCUAAGGUGUCUUGGCUAAUGUGUCUUGGCUAAGGUGUCUUGGCUAAGGUGUCUUGGCUAAGGUGUCUUGGCUAAUGUGUAUUGGCUAAUGUGUCUUGGCUAAGGUGUCUUGGCUAAGGUGUCUUGGCUAAUGUGUCUUGGCUAAUGUGUCUUGGCUAAGGUGUCUUGGCUAAUGUGUCUCGGCUAAGGUGUCUUGGCUAAUGUGUCUUGGCUAAAGUGUCUUGGCUAAAGUGUCUUGGCUAAGGUGUCUUGGCUAAGGUGUCUUGGCUAAGGUGUCUUGGCUAAUGUGUCUUGGCUAAUGUGUCUUGGCUAAGGUGUCUUGGCUAAUGUGUCUUGGCUAAGGUGUCUUGGCUAAGGUGUCUUGGCUAAUGUGUCUCGGCUUAGGUGUCUUGGCUAAAGUGUCUUGGCUAAUGUGUUUCGGCUAAGGUGUCUUGGCUAAUGUGUCUUGGCUAAGGUGUCUUGGCUAAGGUGUCUUGGCUAAGGUGUCUUGGCUAAGGUGUCUUGGCUAAUGUGUCUUGGCUAAGGUGUCUUGGCUAAUGUGUCUCGGCUAAGGUGUCUUGGCUAAGGUGUCUUGGCUAAUGUGUCUUGGCUAAGGUGUCUUGGCUAAUGUGUCUUGGCUAAUGUGUAUUGGCUAAAGUGUCUUGGCUAAGGUGUCUUGGCUAAUGUGUCUCGGCUAAAGUGUCUUGGCUAAGGUGUCUUGGCUAAGGUGUCUUGGCUAAGGUGUCUUGGCUAAUGUGUCUCGGCUAAGGUGUCUUGGCUAAAGUGUCUUGGCUAAUGUGUCUCGGCUAAGAUGUCUUGGCUAAUGUGUCUUGGCUAAGGUGUCUUGGCUAAGGUGUCUUGGCUAAGGUGUCUUGGCUAAGGUGUCUUGGCUAAGGUGUCUUGGCUAAGGUGUCUUGGCUAAGGUGUCUUGGCUAAUGUGUCUUGGCUAAUGUGUCUCGGCUAAGGUGUCUCGGCUAAGGUGUCUUGGCUAAGGUGUCUUGGCUAAGGUGUCUUGGCUAAUGUGUCUUGGGUAAUGUGUCUUGGCUAAGGUGUCUUGGCUAAGGUGUCUUGGCUAAGGUGUCUUGGCUAAGGUGUCUUGGCUAAGGUGUCUUGGCUAAGGUGUCUUGGCUAAGGUGUCUUGGCUAAGGUGUCUUGGCUAAUGUGUCUCGGCUAAGGUGUCUUGGUUAAGGUGUCUUGGCCAAGGUGUCUUGGCUAAGGUGUCUUGGCUAAGGUGUCUUGGCUAAGGUUUCUUGGCUAAUGUGUCUUGGCUAAUGUGUCUUGGCUAAGGUGUCUUGGCUAAUGUGUCUCGGCUAAGGUGUCUUGGCUAAGGUGUCUUGGCUAAUGUGUCUUGGCUAAGGUGUCUUGGCUAAGGUGUCUUGGCUAAUGUGUCUCGGCUAAGGUGUCUUGGCUAAGGUGUCUUGGCUAAUGUGUCUUGGCUAAUGUGUCUUGGCUAAGGUGUCUUGGCUAAGGUGUCUUGGCUAAUGUGUCUUGGCUAAAGUGUCUUGGCUUAGGUGUCUUGUCUAAUGUGUCUCGGCUAAGGUGUCUUGGUUAAGGUGUCUUGGCUAAGGUGUCUUGGCUAAGGUGUCUUGGCUAAUGUGUCUCGGCUAAUGUGUCUUGGCUUAGGUGUCUUGUCUAAUGUGUCUCGGCUAAGGUGUCUCGGCUAAUGUGUCUUGGCUAAGGUGUCUUGGCUAAGGUGUCUUGGGUAAUGUGUCUUGGCUAAUGUGUCUCGGCUAAGGUGUCUUGGCUAAGGUGUCUUGGCUAAGGUGUCUUGGCUAAGGUGUCUUGGCUAAGGUGUCUUGGCUAAUGUGUCUUGGCUAAUGUGUCUUGGCUAAGGUGUCUUGGCUAAGGUUUCUUGGCUAAUGUGUCUUGGCUAAAGUGUCUUGGCUUAAGUGUCUUGGCUAAUGUGUCUCGGCUAAGGUGUCUUGGCUAAGGUGUCUUGGCUAAGGUGUCUUGGCUAAGGUGUCUUGGCUAAUGUGUCUCGGCUAAGGUGUCUUGGUUAAGGUGUCUUGGCUAAGGUGUCUUGGCUAAGGUGUCUUGGCUAAUGUGUCUCGGCUAAUGUGUCUUGGCUAAGGUGUCUUGGCUAAGGUGUCUUGGCUAAUGUGUCUUGGCUAAUGUGUCUUGGCUAAGGUGUCUUGGCUAAGGUGUCUUGGCUUAUGUGUCUCGGCUAAUGUGUCUUGGCUAAGGUGUUUUGGCUAAGGUGUCUUGGCUAAUGUGUCUUGGCUAAUGUGUCUUGGCUAAGGUGUCUUGGCUAAGGUGUCUUGGCUAAUGUGUCUUGGCUAAGGUGUCUUGGCUAAUGUGUCUUGGCUAAUGUGUCUUGACUAAGGUGUCUUGGCUAAUGUGUCUCGGCUAAUGUGUCUUGGCUAAGGUGUCUUGGCUAAGGUGUCUUGGCUAAUGUGUCUUGGCUAAUGUGUCUUGGCUAAGGUGUCUUGGCUAAUGUGUCUUGGCUAAGGUGUCUUGGCUAAGGUGUCUUGGCUAAUGUGUCUUGGCUAAUGUGUCUUGGCUAAGGUGUCUUGGCUAAGGUGUCUUGGCUAAUGUGUCUUGGCUAAGGUGUCUUGGCUAAUGUGUCUUGGCUAAGGUGUCUUGGCUAAGGUGUCUUGGCUAAUGUGUCUUGGCUAAUGUGUCUUGGCUAAGGUGUCUUGGCUAAGGUUUCUUGGCUAAUGUGUCUUGGCUAAAGUGUCUUGGCUUAAGUGUCUUGGCUAAUGUGUCUCGGCUAAGGUGUCUUGGCUAAGGUGUCUUGGCUAAGGUGUCUUGGCUAAGGUGUCUUGACUAAGGUGUCUUGGCUAAGGUGUCUUGGCUUAUGUGUCUCGGCUAAUGUGUCUUGGCUAAGGUGUCUUGGCUAAGGUGUCCUGGCUAAUGUGUCUUGGCUAAUGUGUCUUGGCUAAGGUGUCUUGGCUAAGGUGUCUUGGCUAAUGUGUCUUGGCUAAAGUGUCUUGGCUUAGGUGUCUUGGCUAAUGUGUCUUGGCUAAUGUGUCUUGGCUAAGGUGUCUUGGCUAAGGUGUCUUGGCUAAUGUGUCUUGGCUAAAGUGUCUUGGCUAAUGUGUCUUGGCUAAGGUGUCUUGGCUAAGGUGUCUUGGCUAAUGUGUCUUGGCUAAGGUGUCUUGGCUAAGGUGUCUUGGCUAAGGUGUCUUGGCUAAGGUGUCUUGGCUAAUGUGUCUUGGCUAAUGUGUCUCGGCUAAUGUGUCUUGGCUAAUGUGUCUUGGCUAAUGUGUCUUGGCUAAGGUGUCUUGGCUAAUGUGUCUUGGCUAAGGUGUCUUGGCUAAGGUGUCUUGGCUAAUGUGUCUUGGCUAAUGUGUCUUGGCUAAGGUGUCUUGGCUAAGGUUUCUUGGCUAAUGUGUCUUGGCUAAAGUGUCUUGGCUUAAGUGUCUUGGCUAAUGUGUCUCGGCUAAGGUGUCUUGGCUAAGGUGUCUUGGCUAAGGUGUCUUGGCUAAGGUGUCUUGACUAAGGUGUCUUGGCUAAGGUGUCUUGGCUUAUGUGUCUCGGCUAAUGUGUCUUGGCUAAGGUGUCUUGGCUAAGGUGUCCUGGCUAAUGUGUCUUGGCUAAUGUGUCUUGGCUAAGGUGUCUUGGCUAAGGUGUCUUGGCUAAUGUGUCUUGGCUAAAGUGUCUUGGCUUAGGUGUCUUGGCUAAUGUGUCUUGGCUAAUGUGUCUUGGCUAAGGUGUCUUGGCUAAUGUGUCUUGGCUAAUGUGUCUUGGCUAAUGUGUCUUGGCUAAUGUGUCUUGGCUAAUGUGUCUUGGCUAAUGUGUCUCGGCUAAGGUGUCUUGGCUAAGGUGUCUUGGCUAAGGUGUCUUGGCUAAGGUGUCUUGGCUAAGGUGUCUUGGCUAAUGUGUCUCGGCUAAGGUGUCUUGGCUAAGGUGUCUUGGCUAAGGUGUCUUGGCUAAGGUGUCUUGGCUAAGGUGUCUUGGCUAAGGUGUCUCGGCUAAUGUGUCUUGGCUAAAGUGUCUUGGCUAAGGUGUCUUGGCUAAUGUGUCUCGGCUAAGGUGUCUUGGCUAAGGUGUCUUGGCUAAGGUGUCUCGGCUAAUGUGUCUUGGCUAAGGUGUCUUAGCUAAGGUGUCUUGGCUAAUGUGUUUUGGCUAAGGUGUCUUGGCUAAUGUGUCUUGGCUAAGGUGUCUUGGCUAAGGUGUCUUGGCUAAGGUGUCUUGGCUAAUGUGUCUUGGCUAAGGUGUCUUGGCUAAUGUGUCUUGGUUAAUGUGUCUCGGCUAAUGUGUCUUGGCUAAGGUGUCUUGGCUAAGGUGUCUUGGCUAAUGUGUCUUGGCUAAUGUGUCUUGGCUAAGGUGUCUUGGCUAACGUGUCUCGGCUAAGGUGUCUUGGCUAAUGUGUCUUGGCUAAAGUGUUUUGGCUAAGGUGUCUUGGCUAAGGUGUCUUGGCUAAUGUGUCUUGGCUAAAGUGUCUUGGCUAAGGUGUCUUGGCUAAUGUGUCUCGGCUAAAGUGUCUUGGCUAAGGUGUCUUGGCUAAGGUGUCUUGGCUAAAGUGUCUUGGCUAAGGUGUCUUGGCUAAGGUGUCUUGGCUAAGGUGUCUUGGCUAAGGUGUCUUGGCUAAGGUGUCUUGGCUAAGGUGUCUUGGCUAAUGUGUCUUGGCUAAGGUGUCUUGGCUAAUGUGUCUCAUCUAAGGUGUCUUGGCUAAGGUGUCUUGGCUAAUGUGUCUUGGCUAAGGUGUCUUGGCUAAUGUGUCUCGGCUAAUGUGUCUUGGCUAAGGUGUCUUGGCUAAGGUGUCUUGGCUAAUGUGUCUCGGCUAAUGUGUCUUGGCUAAGGUGUCUUGGCUUAUGUGUCUUGGCUAAUGUGUCUUGGCUAAUGUGUCUCGGCUAAUGUGUCUUGGCUAAGGUGUCUUGGCUAAGGUGUCUUGGCUAAGGUGUCUCGGCUAAUGUGUCUUGGCUAAGGUGUCUUGGCUAAGGUGUCUUGGCUAAUGUGUCUUGGCUAAUGUGUCUUGGCUAAUGUGUCUCGGCUAAGGUGUCUUGGCUAAGGUGUCUUGGCUAAGGUGUCUUGGCUAAGGUGUCUUGGCUAAGGUGUCUCGGCUAAUGUGUCUCGGCUAAAGUGUCUAGGCUAAGGUGUCUUGGCUAAG